rnacentral:rRNA from 1 species
GCUGCGUAUGGAAGGCUUGCGGAGGAAGCAUUGAAUACUUAUGAUCAUCGAGUCUUUGAACGCAAGUUGCGCCCGAGGCCACCAGGCCGAGGGCACGUCUGCCUGGGCGUCACGCA